rnacentral:tRNA from 1 species
GCGCCGGCAGCCUGUGGCUGGACACCGCCCGCUACCACCUGGCGCCGGGCGUGCGCGCCUUCGGCCUGGUGUUCGACAGCACCGCCCGCGGC